GAGAGCCGUGUGCAUUGAAAAAUGCAAGCACGGGUUCGGAGGGGGACGGAUGGAAAAGGGUCAGAAACGACACCUCGCCAGCCGUCUACCCUAC
rnacentral:ncRNA from 1 species